CCAGUGAUAGCCAGCCAACUGAGCUUUGUGAUCAAGACGUGAAGCCAGGUGAGCAAACCCGCUGAAUUUAAGCAUAUGAGUAAGCGGAGGACAAGAAACUAAACAGGAUUCUAUCAGUAAUGGCGAGUGAAUGGAGAUGAGCUCACUUUGGGAAUUGGGGCCUCUUUGGCCUUGAAUUGUAGCCUCGAGGUGUGUUGCCAGUGGAGGCGCAGAUGUCGGCCUCUUGGAAGAGAGCAUCAGAGAGGGUGAGAGUCCUGUCUGUCUCUCGCAGCCCUCCACGCACGGUGCCCUUUCUGUGAGUCAUGCUCCUUGGAAUUGGAGUGUAAAAAAGGUGGUAAAUUUCAUCUCAAGCUAAAUAUUGGGUCGAGACCGAUAGAAAACAAGUACCAUGAGGGAAAGAUGAAAAGGACUUUGAAAAGAGAGUUAGAAGUGCCUGAAAUUGCUGAAAACGAAGAGAAUGGAACUAGCAAAGCUUUGCGAGAUUGUCACGUGGUAAAGUGCACCAGCGACACGUGUUGCUUCUUGCCUCGUGCGUCCACUCCAGCUUGUGGCCGAGGAAACCCCUGGGGACAUGGUGCUCAGCCCGCGGGCGGGCAAGUGUCAUCUGCAGAAUUCGUUCGUGAACUGAAGCUUGACUGUCCAGUCGCAGCAUCCUGGUAACUCCUGGAUGUUCUUCCUGGCGUCGGGACGAUGAACUGGUUCCUUUCACCCCGUCUUGA
rnacentral:rRNA from 1 species